rnacentral:rRNA from 1 species
AAAUUGAAGAGUUUGAUCAUGGCUCAGAUUGAACGCUGGCGGCAGGCCUAACACAUGCAAGUCGAACGGUAACAGGAAGAAGCUUGCUUCUUUGCUGACGAGUGGCGGACGGGUGAGUAAUGUCUGGGAAACUGCCUGAUGGAGGGGGAUAACUACUGGAAACGGUAGCUAAUACCGCAUAACGUCGCAAGACCAAAGAGGGGGACCUUCGGGCCUCUUGCCAUCGGAUGUGCCCAGAUGGGAUUAGCUAGUAGGUGGGGUAACGGCUCACCUAGGCGACGAUCCCUAGCUGGUCUGAGAGGAUGACCAGCCACACUGGAACUGAGACACGGUCCAGACUCCUACGGGAGGCAGCAGUGGGGAAUAUUGCACAAUGGGCGCAAGCCUGAUGCAGCCAUGCCGCGUGUAUGAAGAAGGCCUUCGGGUUGUAAAGUACUUUCAGCGGGGAGGAAGGGAGUAAAGUUAAUACCUUUGCUCAUUGACGUUACCCGCAGAAGAAGCACCGGCUAACUCCGUGCCAGCAGCCGCGGUAAUACGGAGGGUGCAAGCGUUAAUCGGAAUUACUGGGCGUAAAGCGCACGCAGGCGGUUUGUUAAGUCAGAUGUGAAAUCCCCGGGCUCAACCUGGGAACUGCAUCUGAUACUGGCAAGCUUGAGUCUCGUAGAGGGGGGUAGAAUUCCAGGUGUAGCGGUGAAAUGCGUAGAGAUCUGGAGGAAUACCGGUGGCGAAGGCGGCCCCCUGGACGAAGACUGACGCUCAGGUGCGAAAGCGUGGGGAGCAAACAGGAUUAGAUACCCUGGUAGUCCACGCCGUAAACGAUGUCGACUUGGAGGUUGUGCCCUUGAGGCGUGGCUUCCGGAGCUAACGCGUUAAGUCGACCGCCUGGGGAGUACGGCCGCAAGGUUAAAACUCAAAUGAAUUGACGGGGGCCCGCACAAGCGGUGGAGCAUGUGGUUUAAUUCGAUGCAACGCGAAGAACCUUACCUGGUCUUGACAUCCACAGAACUUUCCAGAGAUGGAUUGGUGCCUUCGGGAACUGUGAGACAGGUGCUGCAUGGCUGUCGUCAGCUCGUGUUGUGAAAUGUUGGGUUAAGUCCCGCAACGAGCGCAACCCUUAUCCUUUGUUGCCAGCGGUCCGGCCGGGAACUCAAAGGAGACUGCCAGUGAUA